rnacentral:rRNA from 1 species
UACGGAGGGGGUUAGCGUUGUUCGGAAUUACUGGGCGUAAAGCGCACGUAGGCGGAUUAGUCAGUCAGAGGUGAAAUCCCAGGGCUCAACCCUGGAACUGCCUUUGAUACUGCUAGUCUUGAGUUCGAGAGAGGUAAGUGGAAUUCCGAGUGUAGAGGUGAAAUUCGUAGAUAUUCGGAGGAACACCAGUGGCGAAGGCGGCUUACUGGCUCGAUACUGACGCUGAGGUGCGAAAGCGUGGGGAGCAAACAGG